AUUGAACGCUGGCGGCAUGCCUUACACAUGCAAGUCGAACGGCAGCACGGGAGCAAUCCUGGUGGCGAGUGGCGAACGGGUGAGUAAAGUAUCGGAACGUGCCCAGUCGUGGGGGAUAACGUAGCGAAAGUUACGCUAAUACCGCAUACGAUCUAUGGAUGAAAGCGGGGGAACGCAAGACCUCGCGCGAUUGGAGCGGCCGAUAUCAGAUGAGGUAGUUGGUGGGGUAAAGGCUCACCAAGCCGACGAUCUGUAGCUGGUCUGAGAGGACGGCCAGCCACACUGGGACUGAGACACGGCCCAGACUCCUACGGGAGGCAGCAGUGGGGAAUUUUGGACAAUGGGCGAAAGCCUGAUCCAGCCAUGCCGCGUGCAGGAUGAAGGCCUUCGGGUUGCAAACUGCUUUUGUACGGAACGAAAAGGUUUGGCCUAAUAAGCUGAGCUCAUGACGGUACCGUAAGAAUAAGCACCGGCUAACUACGUGCCAGCCGCCGCCGUAA
rnacentral:rRNA from 1 species